rnacentral:misc_RNA from 1 species
UUUCAAAUACGUCGAUGGAAGCACAGAACCGCCGCUGGAAGUCAUCACCGCGACGGACAAAUCAGAAAAAACUAAUCCGGCCCAUGCCGCCUGGAAAGCCAUGGAUGGCCAGAUCCGAUCAUGUUUGAUUGCGAUCAUCUCUCCCACGGUUCAGAAACACGUCCGAUCCUACACAACUGCUUCAGCCCUGUGGACGGCCCUCGUAACACGCUAUGCAUCAAUUUCCCACUCUCAUAUUUUUCAAUUGCGUGAUCG